rnacentral:misc_RNA from 1 species
GCCAAAUCAAAUAGCCCAAACCGGGUUUAAAGAAAAAGAAGAAAAAUCUUCCGGUUUUUUUCAUUCUCUCUCUUUCUUCUAGAUUCCUCUGCUCUAUACAGUUUUAUUUUACUCUGACAACAACAAUGGCGGCUUCUACUCGGAGGUCAAGCGGACCGGUAAUCCGUUCACUUUCACCGGCCGGGAAGUUCUAUUCACCUAGCCAGAGGAACUCGUCGUUUUCGUCGACGUCUUCUGCUUUUGCUUCAUCAACUUCCGGUUUUUCUACCGGUUCACAUGCAAUUCUCCACAGAUCUACGUCGCCGAAUCGUGUGAAUUUAUACAGCUCUAGGUCGUCGUCUCCGGCGUCCUCUGUGCGGUUCUCUUUGGAACGUUCAACUUCACCGAGCCGGUCUAUUGCUGCGGUGAACCGGAACCACGUGGUGCAGAAUCGGAGUCAGAAGAAGUCGUGUAUGUGCUCACCGACGACACAUCCAGGUUCGUUCCGAUGUAGUCUACAUAAGAAUAAAAGUGGUUCAGGUUCAACUGGUAGAGGUACGGCGGCUACCUACAGUCCAAAUCAGUUGAUUUUGAGGCGGUCCGCUAUGACGAACUCGCUCGUGAGGAUCGGUACGGUAGAAGGUGAUUUGGUCAAAAGAGCUUUGGCAGCUUUGAUUCGUCCUUCGUCUCAUCAACAACGCCGACGUGCUGAUUUCCAGUGUAGACCUAGCCGGCUCUCCGUCAUGUCCAAAGCCGAUGACUCGUAAGACAUAUUUUCGAUGGAGAAGGACUAAGUGGAGGUCGGAACGGAACGGUUUUUUGUGUACUCCGGUGGCCGAAACCCUAAGAUCCGACUGUGUAUAGACUCUAAUAGUUAAAUAUUUUAAUUUUUUUUACUAUAACAUAAAACUAAAUUCAUGAAAUUUUGGCGUUGCUGUUCAUGAAGCUUCCAUUCUAAAAAACACAGCCUUCUAAG